GGGCCUAUAACUUAAUGGACAAAGUCUCGACCUUCUAAGUCGAUUAUGCGGGUUCGAUUCCCACUAGGCCCUCCA
rnacentral:tRNA from 1 species